ACUCGUAGAACCUUAACCCAAUCGCAUGCAACAUCCAAACUCAAACAACGUAAUUUAAACCCCUCCCUCUAAUUGAAUCAACAAUCCUAAAAAUUAGGAAUGUAAAAACAAAACUAGGUAAACAAAAAAUGAGGAAAAGAAAGACGCCACAGAUUUACCCGAUAAAUCGAUCCCAACUCCUCGACUCAAGCAAGACUUCGACAAGAUCACCUACCUUGGAAGAACUUGAAGAGAAAAAUUAGCACUAUGCUAAUAUAAGCUCAAAGCUUGA
rnacentral:lncRNA from 1 species